rnacentral:rRNA from 1 species
GUGGGGAAUAUUGCACAAUGGGGGAAACCCUGAUGCAGCAACGCCGCGUGAGUGAUGAAGGCCUUCGGGUUGUAAAGCUCUGUCUUUGGGGACGAUAAUGACGGUACCCAAGGAGGAAGCCACGGCUAACUACGUGCCAGCAGCCGCGGUAAUACGUAGGUGGCAAGCGUUGUCCGGAUUUACUGGGCGUAAAGGGAGCGUAGGUGGAUAUUUAAGUGGGAUGUGAAAUCCCCGGGCUUAACCUGGGGGCUGCAUUCCAAACUGGAUGUCUAGAGUGCAGGAGAGGAGAGUGGAAUUCCUAGUGUAGCGGUGAAAUGCGUAGAGAUUAGGAAGAACACCAGUGGCGAAGGCGACUCUCUGGACUGUAACUGACACUGAGGCUCGAAAGCGUGGGGAGCAAACAGGAUUAGAUACCCUAGUAGUCC